AGACAGUUGCCUCCUUAGCGCAGUAGGCAGCGCGUCAGUCUCAUAAUCUGAAGGUCCUGAGUUCGAACCUCAGAGGGGGCAAGGCGUCUGUUUUGCCAUUUUACUUCUUCUUGAUCCAAAAUGAGUAAGACAACAAAGGAAGUUGACAAAACGUUGUUCUUUCUCUGCUUUCUCUAUAGAAAAGUGUACAAUAUGUCUGGUAAGGGAAAAAAAAAUCUAAGGACAUUGCUUUGAUGGAACAGAACGGGUAAUUGCUGUUUAAUAGAACCAUGUUCAGUUACAAAACAGUGAUUUUCACUAAGAAUUAAAUUCUCCAAAAUUCUCAUCUCCCCUCCCGCCCUGCAUACCAAUUGGAGAUAGAGCUGGUAGCAUUUUCAAAUGUUUUUCAGAUAUGCUUGGCAAUUGUCUUUGUUUUAACAACACCAGAGUCAAGAAACUUGCCAGUUUUAGAGUGCUGAGAUAAGAAAAAGUGGGUGGAGGGUUGUACUAGGGGUGUGGAAGGUAUAGAAUCUAAUUAUCAAUUACUGACUUGGUUAUCUUUUACCAUUCUUCUGGAAUGGCUUACCACCAGGUUGCCACCAAUAACAUUCCAUAUGAAAAAAGAAAGGAAACAAAAAACUGACAAAAAACUCCCCCCUCAGUCUCAUUGCAUUGGACCUUUUCUCUUGCUUCCAGUCCUGUUGACUGGAUCUAAAUCAUC
rnacentral:tRNA from 1 species